rnacentral:rRNA from 1 species
UACGGAGGGUGCAAGCGUUGCUCGGAAUUACUGGGCGUAAAGCGUACGCAGGCGGCUUUGUAAGUCGGGUGUGAAAGCCCCAGGCUCAACCUGGGAACUGCAUCCGAUACUGCAAGGCUUGAGUUCGGGAGAGGGAAGUGGAAUUCCUGGUGUAGAGGUGAAAUUCGUUGAUAUCAGGAGGAACACCGGCGGCGAAAGCGGCUUCCUGGCCCGAUACCGACGCUCAUGUACGAAAGCGUGGGGAGCAAACAGG